AUGGUAGGAUAGAGGCCUACCAUGGUGGUAACGGGUAACGGGGUGUUAGGGCACGACACCGGAGAGGGAGCCUGAGAAACGGCUACCACAUCCAAGGAAGGCAGCAGGCGCGCAAAUUACCCAAUCCCGACACGGGGAGGUAGUGACAAUGAAUAACAAUACAGGGCUCUUUUGGUCUUGUAAUUGGAAUGAGUACAAUUUGAAUCUCUUAACGAGGAACAAUUGGAGGGCAAGUCUGGUGCCAGCAGCCGCGGUAAUUCCAGCUCCAAUAGCGUAUAUNAAAGUUGUUGCAGUUAAAAAGCUCGUAGUUGAAUUUCGGGAUCAAUAUGUCGGUCGUGCCUUCGGUACGUACUGGUAUCAUUGGUCUCUCCUUUCUGACGAACCAUGAUGUCAUUAAUUUGGUGUUAUGGGGAGUUAGGACUGUUACUUUGAAAAAAUUAGAGUGUUUAAAGCAGGCUUUAGCUUGAAUACAUUAGCAUGGAAUAAUGAAAUAGGACGUUCGAACCUAUUUUGUUGGCUUCUAGGAUCAACGUAAUGAUUAAUAGGGAUAGUUGGGGGCAUUAGUAUUCAAUUGUCAGAGGUGAAAUUCUUGGAUUUAUUGAAGACUAACUACUGCGAAAGCAUUUGCCAAGGAUGUUUUCAUUAAUCAAGAACGAAAGUUAGGGGAUCGAAGACGAUCAGAUACCGUCGUAGUCUUAACCAUAAACUAUGCCGACUAGGGAUCGGAUGAUGUUAAUUUUCUAAUGACUCAUUCGGCGCCUUACGGGAAACCAAAGUGUUUGGG
rnacentral:rRNA from 1 species